rnacentral:rRNA from 1 species
UAAUGUAUGGGGAUCUGCCCGAUAGAGGGGGGUAACUACUGGAAACGGUGGCUAACACCGCAUAAUGUCUACGGACCAAAGCAGGGGCUCUUCGGACCUUGCACUAUCGGAUGAACCCAUAUGGGAUUAGCUAGUAGGUGGGGUAAAGGCUCACCUAGGCGACGAUCUCUAGCUGGUCUGAGAGGAUGAUCAGCCACACUGGGACUGAGACACGGCCCAG